rnacentral:rRNA from 1 species
AGAGUUUGAUCCUGGCUCAGGACGAACGCUGGCGGCGUGCCUAAUACAUGCAAGUAGAACGCUGAAGACUGGUGCUUGCACUAGUCAGAUGAGUUGCGAACGGGUGAGUAACGCGUAGGUAACCUACCUCAUAGCGGGGGAUAACUAUUGGAAACGAUAGCUAAUACCGCAUGACAAUUAAGUACUCAUGUACUAAAUUUAAAAGGAGCAAUUGCUUCACUAUGAGAUGGACCUGCGUUGUAUUAGCUAGUUGGUGAGGUAACGGCUCACCAAGGCCACGAUACAUAGCCGACCUGAGAGGGUGAUCGGCCACACUGGGACUGAGACACGGCCCAGACUCCUACGGGAGGCAGCAGUAGGGAAUCUUCGGCAAUGGGGGCAACCCUGACCGAGCAACGCCGCGUGAGUGAAGAAGGUUUUCGGAUCGUAAAGCUCUGUUGUUAGAGAAGAACGGUAAUGGGAGUGGAAAAUCCAUUACGUGACGGUAACUAACCAGAAAGGGACGGCUAACUACGUGCCAGCAGCCGCGGUAAUACGUAGGUCUCGAGCGUUGUCCGGAUUUAUUGGGCGUAAAGCGAGCGCAGGCGGUUAUUUAAGUCUGAAGUUAAAGGCCGUGGCUCAACCAUGGUUCGCUUUGGAAACUGGAUAACUUGAGUGCAGAAGGGGAGAGUGGAAUUCCAUGUGUAGCGGUGAAAUGCGUAGAUAUAUGGAGGAACACCGGUGGCGAAAGCGGCUCUCUGGUCUGUAACUGACGCUGAGGCUCGAAAGCGUGGGGAGCAAACAGGAUUAGAUACCCUGGUAGUCCACGCCGUAAACGAUGAGUGCUAGGUGUUAGGCCCUUUCCGGGGCUUAGUGCCGCAGCU